rnacentral:tRNA from 1 species
AUGUCAAUAGUAUAGUUUAGUAUGCUGUCUUUCCAAGUCAGAGGUCUAUUUGUUAGUUGAUGUA